GGGUUUGGCGGCGUUGCCUUACAUGCAGUCGAGCGAAUGAUYAAGAGCUUGCUCUUAUGAAGUUAGCGGCGGACGGGUGAGUAACACGUGGGUAACCUGCCCUAAGACUGGAUAAUCCGGGAAACCGGGGCUAAUACCGGAUAACAUUUUGAACCGCAUGGUUCGAAAUUGAAAGGCGGCUUCGGCUGCACUAUGGAUGGACCGCGUCGCAUUAGCUAGUUGGUGAGGAACGGCUCACCAAGGCAACGAUGCGUAGCCGACCUGAGAGGGUGAUCGGCCACACUGGGACUGAGACCGGCCCAGACUCCUACGGGAGGCAGCAGUAGGGAAUCUUCCGCAAUGGACGAAGUCUGACGGAGCAACGCCGCGUGAGUGAUGAAGGCUUUCGGUCGUAAAACUCUGUUGUUAGGGAAGAACAAGUGCUAGUUGAUAAGCGGCACUUGACGGUACCUAACCAAAAGCCACGGCUAACUACGUGCCAGCAGCCGCGGUUAAUACGUUAGGU
rnacentral:rRNA from 1 species